rnacentral:rRNA from 1 species
AACGAACGCUGGCGGCGCGCCUAACACAUGCAAGUCGAGCGCGAAAGUCCCUUCGGGGGCUAGUAGAGCGGCGGACGGGUGAGUAAUACGUGGAUAAUCUUCCCUCGAGCUUGGGAUAACCCUGCGAAAGUGGGGCUAAUACCGGAUAAGACCACAUAGCAUAUGCUACGUGGUAGAAGGUGGCUUAUAUUUACAUGAGCUAUCACUUGAGGACGAGUCCAUGGCCUAUCAGCUAGUUGGUGAGGUAAAAGCUCACCAAGGCUAUGACGGGUAGCUGGUCUGAGAGGACGACCAGCCACACUGGGACUGAGACACGGCCAGACUCCUACGGGAGGCAGCAGUGGGGAAUAUUGGGCAAUGGGCGAAAGCCUGACCCAGCGACGCCGCGUGGGUGAUGAAGGCCUUCGGGUUGUAAAGCCCUUUCGUGCGGAAAGAACAGCCCUGUAGCGAAUACCUACAGGGUUUGACGGUACCGCAGGAAGAAGCACCGGCUAACUCCGUGCCAGCCGCCGCGGUAA